rnacentral:rRNA from 1 species
GAUGAACGCUGGCGGCGUGCCUAAUACAUGCAAGUCGAGCGAACGGACGAGAAGCUUGCUUCUCUGAUGUUAGCGGCGGACGGGUGAGUAACACGUGGAUAACCUACCUAUAAGACUGGGAUAACUUCGGGAAACCGUAGCUAAUACCGGAUAAUAUUUUGAACCGCAUGGUUCAAAAGUGAAAGACGGUCUUGCUGUCACUUAUAGAUGGAUCCGCGCUGCAUUAGCUAGUUGGUAAGGUAACGGCUUACCAAGGCAACGAUGCAUAGCCGACCUGAGAGGGUGAUCGGCCACCCUGGAGCUGAGCCACGGUCCAUACUCCUACGGGACGCAGCAGUAGGGUAUCUUCCGCAAUGGGCGAAAGCCUGACGGAGCAACGCCGCGUGUGUUAUGAAGGUCUUCGGAUCGUAAAACUCUGUUAUUAGGGAAGAACAUAUGUGUAAGUAACUGUGCACAUCUUGACGGUACCUAAUCAGAAAGCCACGGCUAACUACGUG